ensembl:lncRNA
AUUUUCUCUAAGAAAACAUGUUCUUAAAUGCAUUAGCUGUCCAAAAAGAGACAAAUAGAGUUGCUUUCAUUUUUUUUCAUUUUCUUUAUUCUCAUAAAGCUCAUUAGCCAGCAAUUAUGCAACAAACGCACACGGAAAUAUAGCUGUAGUAUUUGAAUUUUGUCUGACUGCUGAAAUGUCUCAAUAUACUAAUGAAGAAAAGAUGAAAAUUCACACGAACUUAAAAACAGAUGAUAAGGGAAUUUUGGAAAGAAGGAAAGUACCCACUUCAGCAGGGCAGGAAAUGCAUAAAGCACAACCAGAUCACAGAACCCAACUGGAGAACCAAGAAACAAACACAAUGAACACUGGACGUAUAUCCCCGCCAUAUGAAAAGAGCACGGCUCCUCCUCACCAUGGGACCAUUAGACACCCAACAUUAUUUACAAGUCUAUGAGGAACAAGGUCCCAGAGAUGCUUUUCUAAGUCUAGCACAGUAAUUGAGACAAAACAUAGGAGCUCAAGAGACUGAAUGUCAAACUAGGACUCUGCAAAGGCUUCAGGGAUAAAGUUAGAGUGAGUAUUCAAACACAGUGGGUAGGUAGAAGUCAUCACUUUGAUAGCUUGGUUGACCUGAAAUACACUUUGAGGGGCUUCUCCCUCCCCUUUCCAGUAGUACCUCUUCUUGAAUCGAGCCCUGCUGAGACCUGGGGAUGCUAAUUAUGUCACAUUAUAUCUGCAUGAAUGUGGGAACAAUGGAAACAGAAACGUUCAGAUAAAUUACAUGAUGUUUGAAAGUUUUAACAAAGACUCCAAGACAAAGAGACAGGAAACUCAAGUUCAUAUUCUGGUUCUACCACCAAUGGACCUUAUGACUUGGAGCACUUUUUUCCUCUUGCUUAUCCUCAGCUUUCAUAUCUGUAAAAUGAACAGAUUAAUGGUUCUCAAUCCCAGAUGGAUGUAGAUUGAAAUUACACAGCAGCAGCAGCAGUAGUAGGAGUAGUAGUAGUAGUAGUAGUAGUUUCGCAACAAACACACAAGCAAACAAAAAAGAAAGCAAAAACAGUGACUGGCCUCACGCGAGAUCAAUUAAAUUUGAAUCCUAGAGAUAAAGUUGAAGCAUCAGAAUUUUUAAAAGCUUCCUAGAUACAGGCAGGCUUGAAAACCAGGUGGGGUGAAUCAUCAAUCCCCAAAACUUGGAAAAGUCAAAUGAGGAGCUUUACAAAAGCUUAAUGUGUUAUGAUUCCACACCAAUUCAGAAAUUAUAAUGAGAAUGAAGAAUUUACAUUUUUUAUGUGUUCCCUGUGUGUGUGUGGGGGGGAGGGGGUUAUGGACAACAAAAUGUGAACAUACUUGGCUAGUCUUUGAAGACACUUUAAGCUUUUACAGGUCAUCAUUUUGUGGCCUCCUUAACGGUGGGGCAAGAUCACAAUGAACAUAAAGAAAUUAAAGUAUCAAUGGCCAGGAUUCUAUUUGAUCUCAAAGCAAUAGUGUUUGAAAUGAGGUGGUUGAGAACCAGUGAGAAGUGUAUAUUCAAGUGAAUAUGUGAAUCUGUGUUCUGUAAGCCAAAGUAAAUAGUAGUUAAAAAAUAAAACUGGAUUUAUAUCACCUGGUUUAGAUAUA